rnacentral:lncRNA from 1 species
AUGUCCUACUCAAGCCUUCUGCCAAAGCUUCAGGUUCGCAUGAACAUGCCCGUGGGCCGUGUAAAGGUACUAAUCCCUGGGUUGGCACCUAGUGAGAUGCUCAAGGCAGAGGUUUCUCUUGACUCCCAACCGAUCACAUGGUGUCUUUCUCCACCUCCAAUUAAGAGGAGGCUAAAGGACACCUUGCCCAAGGACAAGGUCGAGCUCGAUGAGCUCAGAGUUGACCUUGCGUCCCUCCGUCGUGGCUUUUGUGCCAAGCAUUUUCACUUGUACAAGGCCGUAGGAAAGGAAGACCUCUACUGUGCUCCUAUCCUGAUAAGGACACAAAUAGCUGGAAUAUAACCAUGACUAC